ensembl:lncRNA
CUUUGUUUGUCAUUUGUGACAUGAUUUCUACGUGAACAACACAAGCCUCGAAUUCCUAUUUAUUCUCGACACAAGCUCAGAUGCCUCGGUUCAAAUGUCACAUCACUGUGCACUCUUGAACAGAAAGAUGGUGACUGCAGCUCGAUUAUAAAUGUUCGUGUACAUCACACAACUCGUUCACAGGGUUAUUGUUAUAGUUGUGCUAAGCCAUGUUGUACGCAGUAUGUACAAAGACUGGUUACAAGGAUGAUUGACAGGAGGAGAGCCCCGCCCACCACAGACAGCAGUGUAGUGGAGUCCAUAACUGAGGAGACAAUGCGAGAACAUUGAUUUAUGGCAGUAUUUGGCCAAAGCAGAGAGCCUCCUCAUUCUUCUGAAUCUGUGGUUUUAGGUUAGUGUGACUGUGACUAAACCAGGGAAAUGUUUCCAUAUGCUAAUUUUGUAUAAAUGAAGCCGCAUAUGAAAGGUCAGGUAACUCAUUUCAUUUGGUUUUUAUGAAGCUGACUUGUUUUAAUGAAAAAGCAGCAAGUGGGUUUACUAUUUCUUGAUGUUAGCAAUAAGAACUGGUCUCUUUAAAAUCUUUAAGAAACAUGAAAACACAGAUCUUCCAUCCAUGAGCUCAUGAUCAUUUAUUCCUUAUCAUUUAAUACACUGUUCUUAAAACCUGCU